UAACUGUCUCGUAGCAUCGUCCUUUUCC
rnacentral:sRNA from 1 species